AACAGGGUAAUCGUACCUGAGGUUUUAUUCCUGGUAUAUUUUAAAUAAAUUGUUAGAUUUACUUUUAAAAAAUCUGCAUAGUCAAGUAAAACUAAAUUAAAUUCAUCUCAUCAUCUCUAACCGCUUUAUCCUGUACAGGGUCGCAGGCGAGCUGGAUCCUAUCCCAGCUGACUACGGGCGAAAGGCGGGGUUCACCCUGGACAAGUCGCCAGGUCAUCACAGGGCUGACACAUAGACACAGACAACCAUUCACACUCACAUUCACACCUACGCUCAAUUUAGAGUCACCAGUUAACCUAACCUGCAUGUCUUUGGACUGUGGUGGAAACCGGAGCACCCGGAGGAAACCCACGCGGACACGGGGAGAACAUGCAAACUCCGCACAGAAAGGCCCUCGCCGGCCACGGGGCUCGAACCCGGACCUUCUUGCUGUGAGGCGACAGCGCUAACCACUACACCACCGUGCCGCCCCGUGUAGCUUGUAUUAAUUCUAUUAAAAACAACAAAGUUCAAGCUCAUUAAUCUCAUGUUAAGCGACUUACUCUUGGGAAGUCUGCGAGGAUGUGCUUCAUUGCUGGUACUGGGACUGGGCUCGAGUGUUAGUGGGUCUAGACUCUCACUCUGAUCACCUUCAUGGUCCUGAACCUCCUCAGCUCUCUGCUCACUCAGAGCUGAACUCAUAGCAUCCGUUACUGUUCCUUUAGCUGUAGCUCGGUGGGGAGGAGGCGGGCUGACAAGACCAACUUCAUCACUUACAGUCGUCACAGGUAGAGGAAGGUGAACUGUUGGCAGAAGCGUUGAUCUACAUAUUUAAAAACGAACACAAACAAAUGACAGAUUUGUAAAAAGGACUGAAGAGUUCAUUAGAAAAGUAAUAAACAGUCUGAGGCUCGUGACCUGGAACUGUAAGAAAUAGGAAACAUUACACAGAAUACAUGAGACACGCCUUUAUUCAAUCUAUAACGGACUUUCAAAGCCCACAACACCAACAGUCACAGCAGUCAAACCGUCAGUGUGCAGGGUGAAGCCAGGCGCGUACAAAUCUACUGUAGGAUCCACCAGGACACUAUAUUAACUGCUGGCUCUCGCAUGAAGAGUGUGUGCGCGUGCGCAAGUAACGCUAACUUACAUGAGAGUACAGUCAAUACAGAACAAACCCAUGAUGUAGGUUUAUAAAGUCAUCAGAAAGUGACGAUAAUACUCAUGUCGUAGGCUGUGUGUGGCAGCCAGUCUAAAAAAGGGUACAGGAGAAUAACAUCAGCUUGAAACAUCUGGAGGGUCCUCAGACAGAGUGUUUUGGUAAACUGGGAUGUAUGGAUGCUGUCAGUCCCCACUCGCUUGCUCACUCGAGUUUGUUGACGGUGUAGUGGCUGCUGCUUUAUGUCCCGGGGCCCCUCAUGCCUGUGUUACCUUCUGGCUCUCCCUUUUUAGUUAUGCUGUCAUAGUUAGUUGCCGGAGUCCCUGCUUGCACUCAGUGCAAUAUGUAGACUGUUCCUACUUAUUCAGGUGACACUAGAGUUGCAAAAUUCCAGGAAUUUUCAAAGGUGGAAACUUUCCAUGGGAAUUUUCAGGAAAAGACUGGGAAUUUUGAAAGUGGACAUCAAUUAAGUAAGUAGAAAAAAAUAUUGUAGCAUAAUCUUGGUUAAAAGAGGCAGAUUUAUGGGAAUAAAGUUGUGCAUAGCACACUGUUACUCACUCACAUGGACAAAACGUUAUUUUCUCAGGAGCCAUUGAAGCCACACCUCUUACAUGCAUUUUGCAUCCCUCUGUCACAUGCACAAUAACUUCUAGAACUCUGAAGAGCUAGAACUGUUUUAAAUACAAACUGCCGAGAUCACACAUUACAGACAAAGGACUACAUGCCAUCAAUUACAUGUCGGUCCUGGGAUCGAGAUGCUGAACCUCUUCUGCUCCUCAGACCUGCCUGAUCCAUCCUGGUGCCCUGUGUCUGGUUGGAGUCUUAUCGCAUCGCUCCUGUGGAGGGCGGCCCCAUGUGGACAGUUGGGGGUCGCGCCUGGAGGACGCUCUGGAUUCUUGCAGUGGUGCUUUUGUGGCUGAGGACUACAGUUGUCAUGAACGGUUUUGCGCUCGGGUUUCCAUCAGUGGGGGGUUUAUGGCAUCAAUGAAACUGACUUCAUGUUAAAACUGUUAAUGUUAUAGUCAUGCUGUCUGUUGUUGCCCAAAUGAGGAUGGGUUCCCUUUUGAGUCUGGUUCCUCUCGAGGUUUCUUCCUCAUGUCAUCUGAGACGGUACGGUGGUGUAGUGGUUAGCGCUGUCGCCUCACAGCAAGAAGGUUCUGGGUUCGAACCCAGCAGCCGGUGAGGGCCUUUCUGUGUGGAGUUUGCAUGUUCUCCCCAUGUGGGUUUCCUCCGGGUGCUCCGGUUUCCCCCACAGUCCAAAGACAUGCAGUUAGGUUGACGUGGGGUGGCCUUGGGCUGAGGUGCCCUUGAGCGAGGUACUGAACCCUUGACUGCUCCCCGGGCGCUCUGGUGUGGCUGCCUACUGCUCUGAGUGUGUGUGCGCGUGUGUUCAUUGCUUCAGAUGGGUUAAAUACAGAGAAUGAAUUUCACUGUGCUUGAAGUGUGCAUGUGACGAAUAAAGGUUUCUUCUUCUUCUUUUUCCUUGCCACCGUCGCCGCAGGCUUCAUCAUUGGGGAUAGAUUAGGGAUAAAACUAGCUCAUGUUUUAAGUCGUUCAAAUCGUGUAAAGCUGCUUUGCGACGAUGUUUAUUGUUAAAAGCGCGAUACAAAUAAACUUGACUUGAAACACAGCACUCUGGUUCUAAUGGGAUUAGCUCAAACGGAAGUGUGUCCAUUUUCAAACUCGAUCGCUGUUUUCAGCCGUUCAAACAACUUUUGUGCUGAAUGAGAACAAAACAUUGUGACACAACAACGUGGCACAUUUCAAUCCCAAUAAUAUGGUUAGUAAAUACAGUACAAGAAACAGAGCUCGAUGCUGCCCAGUGAGCCCUAAGGGCGUGGUCAGUACUCAGACAGGAGACUUCCUGGGAAGACCAGGUCCUGGUACAGGAGGGACUUUGACAUGCUUUUGUUUCAAAGACAGCUCCAGAAAUGGUGUCACUAAGGGCGUUGCUAGGGGAAUAAUUCACAACUGGGCAGAGUUUUAUGAAAAAUUUCAGUGAAAAUGUUUUUAGGGUCGUCUCAAUACACUGUGUGAGUAAAUACUGCUUUCAUCACAUGGUUGCACGCGCAGCAUGGAUGCAAAAGAAGCUUCUGGUUUUGACGAUUACCCGAUAUUAUACUGAUUUUUCAUGCAAGAGUAAAUAAAAUGAAUUGCACCUAUUCCUUAAA